AGCAGAGUGACGGGGAGCAAUCCCCGGUAAUGCUGGCAGACAGACGGUCACAACCACCGA
rnacentral:ribozyme from 1 species